rnacentral:rRNA from 1 species
GACGAACGCUGGCGGCGUGCCUAAUACAUGCAAGUAGAACGCACAGUUUAUACCGUAGCUUGCUACACCAUAGACUGUGAGUUGCGAACGGGUGAGUAACGCGUAGGUAACCUGCCUGGUAGCGGGGGAUAACUAUUGGAAACGAUAGCUAAUACCGCAUAAUAUUAAUUAUAGCAUGAUAAUUAAUUGAAAGGUGCAAUUGCACCACUACCAGAUGGACCUGCGUUGUACUAGCUAGUAGGUGAGGUAACGGCUCACCUAGGCGACGAUACAUAGCCGACCUGAGAGGGUGAUCGGCCACACUGGGACUGAGACACGGCCCAGACUCCUACGGGAGGCAGCAGUAGGGAAUCUUCGGCAAUGGACGAAAGUCUGACCGAGCAACGCCGCGUGAGUGAAGAAGGUUUUCGGAUCGUAAAGCUCUGUUGUAAGAGAAGAACGGGUGUGAGAGUGGAAAGUUCACACUGUGACGGUAUCUUACCAGAAAGGGACGGCUAACUACGUG